GAUGAACGCUGGCGGCGUGCCUAAUACAUGCAAGUCGAGCGAACAGACGAGGAGCUUUCUCCUCUGACGUUAGCGGCUGACGGGUGGGUAACACGUGGAUAACCUACCUCUAAGACUUGGAGAACUUCGGGAAACCAGAGCUAAUACCGGAUAAUAUAUCCAACCGCAUGGUUCAAUAGUGAAAGACGGUUUUGCUGUCACUUAUAGAUGGAUCCGCGCCGCAUUAGCUAGUUGGUAAGGUAACGGCUUACCAAGGCAACGAUGCGUAGCCGACCUGAGAGGGUGAUCGGCCACACUGGAACUGAGACACGGUCCAGACUCCUACGGGAGGCAGCAGUAGGGAAUCUUCCGCAAUGGGCGAAAGCCUGACGGAGCAACGCCGCGUGAGUGAUGAAGGUCUUCGGAUCGUAAAACUCUGUUAUUAGGGAAGAACAAAUGUGUAAGUAACUAUGCACGUCUUGACGGUACCUAAUCAGAAAGCCACGGCUAACUACGUG
rnacentral:rRNA from 1 species